rnacentral:rRNA from 1 species
CGUGGGUAACCUACCCAUCAGAGGGGGAUAACACUUGGAAACAGGUGCUAAUACCGCAUAACAGUUUAUGCCGCAUGGCAUAAGAGUGAAAGGCGCUUUCGGGUGUCGCUGAUGGAUGGACCCGCGGUGCAUUAGCUGGUUGGUGAGGUAACGGCUCACCAAGGCCACGAUGCAUAGCCGACCUGAGAGGGUGAUCGGCCACACUGGGACUGAGACACGGCCCAGACUCCUACGGGAGGCAGCAUG